rnacentral:rRNA from 1 species
UACGUAGGGCGCAAGCGUUGUCCGGAAUUAUUGGGCGUAAAGAGCUCGUAGGCGGCCUGUUGCGUCCGCUGUGAAAUCCCGGGGCUCAACCCCGGGCGUGCAGUGGAUACGGGCUGGCUGGAGGCAGGCAGGGGGAGAACGGAAUUCCUGGUGUAGCGGUGAAAUGCGCAGAUAUCAGGAGGAACACCGGUGGCGAAGGCGGUUCUCUGGGCCUGUACUGACGCUGAGGAGCGAAAGCGUGGGGAGCGAACAGG